rnacentral:rRNA from 1 species
UACCAGCACCCCGAGUGGUCGGGACGAUUAUUGGGCCUAAAGCAUCCGUAGCCGGUUUUACAAGUCCUCCGUUAAAUCCAGCUGCUUAACAGAUGGGCUGCGGAGGAUACUAUAGAGCUAGGAGGCGGGAGAGGCAAGCGGUACUUAGUGGGUAGGGGUAAAAUCCGUUGAUCCAUUGAAGACCACCAGUGGCGAAGGCGGCUUGCCAGAAUGCGCUCGACGGUGAGGGAUGAAAGCUGGGGGAGCAAACCGG